rnacentral:rRNA from 1 species
UACGAAGGGGGCUAGCGUUGCUCGGAAUCACUGGGCGUAAAGGGCGCGUAGGCGGCCGAUCAAGUCAGAGGUGAAAGCCCAGGGCUCAACCCUGGAAUUGCCUUUGAUACUGUUCGGCUCGAGACCGGAAGAGGUUAGUGGAACUGCGAGUGUAGAGGUGAAAUUCGUAGAUAUUCGCAAGAACACCAGUGGCGAAGGCGGCUAACUGGUCCGGUUCUGACGCUGAGGCGCGAAAGCGUGGGGAGCAAACAGG